rnacentral:rRNA from 1 species
CCUACGGGAGACUGCAGUGGGGAAUAUUGCACAAUGGGGGAAACCCUGAUGCAGCGACGCCGCGUGAGUGAAGAAGUAUUUCGGUACGUAAAGCUCUAUCAGCAGGGAAGAAAAAAAGUCCUUUGGACUUUGGACGGUACCUGACCAAGAAGCCCCGGCUAACUACGUGCCAGCAGCCGCGGUAAUACGUAGGGGGCAAGCGUUAUGCGGAUUUACUGGGUGUAAAGGGAGCGUAGACGGUCCUGCAAGCCAGAUGUGAAAGCCCGGGGCUCAACCCCGGGACUGCAUUUGGAACUGUAAGGCUAGAGUGUCGGAGAGGCAGGCGGAAUUCCUAGUGUAGCGGUGAAAUGCGUAGAUAUUAGGAGGAACACCAGUGGCGAAGGCGGCCUGCUGGACGAUGACUGACGUUGAGGCUCGAAAGCGUGGGGAGCAAACAGGAUUAGAUACCCGUGUAGUC